rnacentral:tRNA from 1 species
GACUCCGUAGCUCAGUUGGAUAGAGCAACUGCCUUCUAAGCAGUAGGUCGCAGGUUCGAAUCCUGCCGGGGUCG